AAUGCGACAAGUAAUGUGCAUUGCAGAAUUCAGUGAAUCAUCGAAUCUUUGAACGCACAUUGCGCCCGCCAGUAUUCUGGCGGGCAUGCCUGUUCGAGCGUCAUUUCAACCAUCAAGCCCCCGGCUUGUGUUGGGGACCUGCGGCUGCCCGCAGGCCCUGAAAAACAGUGGCGGGCUCGCUGUCACACCGAGCGUAGUAGCAUACAUUCUCGCUCAGGGCGUGCUGCGGGUUCCGGCCGUUAAACGACCUUCAUAACCCAAGGUUGACCUCGGAUCAGGUAGGAAGACCCGCUGAACUUAAGC
rnacentral:misc_RNA from 1 species